GAUGAACGCUGGCGGCGUGCCUAAUACAUGCAAGUCGAGCGAACAGAUGAGAAGCUUGCUUCUCUGAUGUUAGCGGCGGACGGGUGAGUAACACGUGGGUAACCUACCUAUAAGACUGGGAUAACUCCGGGAAACCGGGGCUAAUACCGGAUAAUAUUUUGAACCGCAUGGUUCAAUAGUGAAAGACGGUUUCGGCUGUCACUUAUAGAUGGACCCGCGCCGUAUUAGCUAGUUGGUAAGGUAAUGGCUUACCAAGGCGACGAUACGUAGCCGACCUGGGAGGGUGAUCGGCCACACUGGAACUGAGACACGGUCCAGACUCCUACGGGAGGCAGCAGUAGGGAAUCUUCCGCAAUGGGCGAAAGCCUGACGGAGCAACGCCGCGUGAGUGAUGAAGGUCUUCGGAUCGUAAAACUCUGUUGUUAGGGAAGAACAAAUUUGUUAGUAACUGAACAAGUCUUGACGGUACCUAACCAGAAAGCCACGGCUAACUCUGUGCCAGCCGCCGCCGUAA
rnacentral:rRNA from 1 species